rnacentral:lncRNA from 1 species
AGUAUAUAUGUUCCAGACCGUAUGAGUAUUUGGACCGUACGCGUACGGUCUGGACCGUAUGCGUACUUUUUCGAAAUACUCAUACGGUCGGACCGUACGCGUACGGUCUGACUAAUAUCAAGGAGUUGGUCAAUUGUACUAGAUACAAAUACAUAUAACAGAUCAACAUAACUUAACUCUCAAAUAAAUAGAAAAAAAAUCAAUUGUAAUUGAAAUAAAAACUUUACAAUUUAACUAUUUAAAAAAUUCACGCUAAUUAAAUCUGUAAAUCUCUAGUAUUUAGCAUGUAGAUCAGUCAUACAUAAUACACUAAUUGAAUUAUGACAAUUAUUCUCACUGAAAUUGAAUGCGAAUAAUGUGGGAGGACAAUUGCUUUAGAAUAUUUAGCAACUUUAAAAAAAAAAUGCUAAUCGAAAGGAACAUGCAUGAACUGAAAAAAUGUAAAUAUGAAAAAUAUACUUUUGGUAGCGAGUGUCACCUUUGACGAGAGUUUCAAAAUAGGAUUCAGAUAUACAAUUAAACAAAUAUCUAAUUUAAAUUGUUAGGUAGUUCAUUUUAUCCAUCUUAUGUAAUAAUAACAAUUUGUAAAACUAAAAAUAAAGAUUGUGAUAAAUGUUUGUAUAGAUGUAUCCAAUAACAUGUAUGGUCAGCUCAUACUGGACCAUACGCGUAUACUCAUACGGUCCGACCGUACGCGUAUGGUCGGACCGUACGAGUAUACGUAUACGGUCUGGACCGUACGCGUACGGUCCAAAUACUCAUACGGUCUGGAACAUAUAUAUA